UGAGUACGAGCUGCUACGGCAGCGAAGUGGGUGAUGUCAUGCUUCCAAGAAAAGCCCUAUACCCGUUAAGGCAUGAUGGCCUGUACCCGAAACCGACACAGGUGGGGUGGUAGAGAAUACCGAGGGGCGCGAGGUAACUCUCUCUAAGGAACUCGGCAAAAUGGCCCCGUAACUUCGGGAGAAGGGGUGCCACCGCAAGGUGGUCGCAGUGAAGAGGCCCAGGCGACUGUUUACCAAAAACACAGGUCUCCGCUAAGUCGCAAGACGAUGUAUGGGGGCUGACGCCUGCCCAGUGCCGGAAGGUUAAGGAAGCUGGUCAGCGUAAGCGAAGCUAGCGACUGAAGCCCCGGUGAACGGCGGCCGUAACAAUAACGGUCCUAAGGUAGCGAAAUUCCUUGUCGGGUAAGUUCCGACCCGCACGAAAGGCGUAACGAUCUGGGCGCUGUCUCGGAGAGAGGCUCGGCGAAAUAGAAUUGUCUGUGAAGAUGCGGACUACGUGCACCCGGACAGAAAGACCCUAUGAAGCUUUACUGUAGCUUGGUAUUGUGCUCGGGCUCGGAAUGCGCAGGAUAGGUGGGAGGCUAUGAACCAUUGCUUGUGGGUGAUGGUGAGCCACUGGUGAGAUACCACUCUUUCCGAGCUAUAGUUCUAACAGCCACCCGUUAUCCGGGGGCUGGACAGUAUCAGGUGGGCAGUUUGACUGGGGCGGUCGCCUCCUAAAAGGUAACGGAGGCGCGCAAAGGUUUGCUCAGGCUGGUUGGAAAUCAGCCGACGAGUGUAAAAGCAGAAGCAAGCUUGACUGUGAGACCUACAAGUCGAACAGGGAGGAAACUCGGCUUUAGUGAUCCGACGGUUCUGCGUGGAAGGGCCGUCGCUCAACGGAUAAAAGUUACUCUAGGAUAACAGGCUGAUCUCCCCCAAGAGUUCACAUCGACGGGGAGGUUUGGCACCUCGAUGUCGGCUCAUCGCAACCUGGGGCUGAAGUCGGUCCCAAGGGUUGGGCUGUUCGCCCAUUAAAGCGGUACGCGAGCUGGGUUCAGAACGUCGUGAGACAGUUCGGUCCAUAUCCGGUGCAUGCGCAGGAAUAUUGAGAGGAUUUCUCCCUAGUACGAGAGGACCGGGAGGAACGCACCUCUGGUGUACCAGUUAUCGUGCCAACGGUAAACGCUGGGUAGCCAUGUGCGGAGAGGAUAACCGCUGAAAGCAUCUAAGUGGGAAGCCCACCUCAAGAUGAGUAUUCCCAUGGGGUAACCCAGUAAGGUCACGGGAAGAACACCCGUUGAUAGGCUCUACGUGGAAGCGCAGUAAUGUGUGAAGCGGAGGAGUACUAAUAGACCGAGGGCUU
rnacentral:rRNA from 1 species